AGAGUUUGAUCCUGGCUCAGGAUGAACGCUGGCGGCGUGCCUAAUACAUGCAAGUCGAGCGAACGGACGAGAAGCUUGCUUCUCUGAUGUUAGCGGCGGACGGGUGAGUAACACGUGGAUAACCUACCUAUAAGACUGGGAUAACUUCGGGAAACCGGAGCUAAUACCGGAUAAUAUUUUGAACCGCAUGGUUCAAAAGUGAAAGACGGUCUUGCUGUCACUUAUAGAUGGAUCCGCGCUGCAUUAGCUAGUUGGUAAGGUAACGGCUUACCAAGGCAACGAUGCAUAGCCGACCUGAGAGGGUGAUCGGCCACACNUCUGAUGUUAGCGGCGGACGGGUGAGUAACACGUGGAUAACCUACCUAUAAGACUGGGAUAACUUCGGGAAACCGGAGCUAAUACCGGAUAAUAUUUUGAACCGCAUGGUUCAAAAGUGAAAGACGGUCUUGCUGUCACUUAUAGAUGGAUCCGCGCUGCAUUAGCUAGUUGGUAAGGUAACGGCUUACCAAGGCAACGAUGCAUAGCCGACCUGAGAGGGUGAUCGGCCACACUGGAACUGAGACACGGUCCAGACUCCUACGGGAGGCAGCAGUAGGGAAUCUUCCGCAAUGGGCGAAAGCCUGACGGAGCAACGCCGCGUGAGUGAUGAAGGUCUUCGGAUCGUAAAACUCUGUUAUUAGGGAAGAACAUAUGUGUAAGUAACUGUGCACAUCUUGACGGUACCUAAUCAGAAAGCCACGGCUAACUACGUGCCAGCAGCCGCGGUAAUACGUAGGUGGCAAGCGUUAUCCGGAAUUAUUGGGCGUAAAGCGCGCGUAGGCGGUUUUUUAAGUCUGAUGUGAAAGCCCACGGCUCAACCGUGGAGGGUCAUUGGAAACUGGAAAACUUGAGUGCAGAAGAGGAAAGUGGAAUUCCAUGUGUAGCGGUGAAAUGCGCAGAGAUAUGGAGGAACACCAGUGGCGAAGGCGACUUUCUGGUCUGUAACUGACGCUGAUGUGCGAAAGCGUGGGGAUCAAACAGGAUUAGAUACCCUGGUAGUCCACGCCGUAAACGAUGAGUGCUAAGUGUUAGGGGGUUUCCGCCCCUUAGUGCUGCAGCUAACGCAUUAAGCACUCCGCCUGGGGAGUACGACCGCAAGGUUGAAACUCAAAGGAAUUGACGGGGACCCGCACAAGCGGUGGAGCAUGUGGUUUAAUUCGAAGCAACGCGAAGAACCUUACCAAAUCUUGACAUCCUUUGACAACUCUAGAGAUAGAGCCUUCCCCUUCGGGGGACAAAGUGACAGGUGGUGCAUGGUUGUCGUCAGCUCGUGUCGUGAGAUGUUGGGUUAAGUCCCGCAACGAGCGCAACCCUUAAGCUUAGUUGCCAUCAUUAAGUUGGGCACUCUAAGUUGACUGCCGGUGACAAACCGGAGGAAGGUGGGGAUGACGUCAAAUCAUCAUGCCCCUUAUGAUUUGGGCUACACACGUGCUACAAUGGACAAUACAAAGGGCAGCGAAACCGCGAGGUCAAGCAAAUCCCAUAAAGUUGUUCUCAGUUCGGAUUGUAGUCUGCAACUCGACUACAUGAAGCUGGAAUCGCUAGUAAUCGUAGAUCAGCAUGCUACGGUGAAUACGUUCCCGGGUCUUGUACACACCGCCCGUCACACCACGAGAGUUUGUAACACCCGAAGCCGGUGGAGUAACCUUUUAGGAGCUAGCCGUCGAAGGUGGGACAAAUGAUUGGGGUGAAGUCGUAACAAGGUAGCCGUAUCGGAAGGUGCGGCUGGAUCACCU
rnacentral:rRNA from 1 species